rnacentral:rRNA from 1 species
UACGGGGGGGGCAAGCGUUGUUCGGAAUUACUGGGCGUAAAGCGCGCGUAGGCGGCUUUUCAAGUCGAGUGUGAAAGCCCCAGGCUUAACCUGGGAAUUGCGCUCGAUACUGUUGAGCUAGAGUGUGGAAGGGGCUACUGGAAUUCCGUGUGUAGCGGUGAAAUGCGUAGAUAUCUGGAGGAACACAGGUGGCGAAGGCGGCAUCCUGGACCGGCACUGACACUGAGGAGCGAAAGCCAGGGGAGCAAACGGG